rnacentral:rRNA from 1 species
GGGGGACAACGUGGGGAAACCCACGCUAAUACCGCGUACGCCCCAAGGAGGAAAGCGGGGGACCGCAAGGCCUCGCGCUAUAGGAUGAGCCUGCGUUGGAUUAGCUUGUUGGUAGGGUAAAGGCCUACCAAGGCGACGAUCCAUAGCUGGUCUGAGAGGACGAUCAGCCACACUGGGACUGAGACACGGCCCAGACUCCUACGGGAGGCAGCAGUGGGGAAUAUUGGACAAUGGGCGCAAGCCUGAUCCAGCAAUACCGCGUGUGUGAAGAAGGCCUGAGGGUUGUAAAGCACUUUCAAUGGGGAGGAAAAAGGCAGGCCCAAUACGCCUGCCCUUGACAUUACCCAUAGAAGAAGCACCGGCUAACUCCGUGCCAGCAGCCGCGGUAAUACGGAGGGUGCGAGCGUUAAUCGGAAUUACUGGGCGUAAAGCGUGCGUAGGCGGCCUGUUAAGUCAGAUGUGAAAGCCCUGGGCUCAACCUGGGAACGGCAUUUGAAACUGGCAGGCUAGAGUUGGGUAGAGGGGAGCGGAAUUCCGGGUGUAGCGGUGAAAUGUGUAGAUAUCCGGAGGAACACCAGUGGCGAAGGCGGCUCCCUGGACCCAAACUGACGCUGAGGUACGAAAGCGUGGGUAGCAAACAGGAUUAGAUACCCUGGUAGUCCACGCCGUAAACGAUGUCGACUAGCCGUUGGCCCCUAUUGGGGGUUAGUGGCGCAGCUAACGCAUUAAGUCGACCGCCUGGGGAGUACGGCCGCAAGGUUAAAACUCAAAUGAAUUGACGGGGCCCGCACAAGCGGUGGAGUAUGUGGUUUAAUUCGAUGCAACGCGAAGAACCUUACCUACCCUUGACAUCCUCAGAAUUUGUCAGAGAUGACUUAGUGCCUUCGGGAACUGAGAGACAGGUGCUGCAUGGCUGUCGUCAGCUCGUGUUGUGAAAUGUUGGGUUAAGUCCCGUAACGAGCGCAACCCUUAUCCUUAGUUGCCAGCGGGUUAUGCCGGGAACUCUAGGGAGACUGCCGGUGAUAAACCGGAGGAAGGUGGGGACGACGUCAAGUCAUCAUGGCCCUUAUGGGUAGGGCUACACACGUGCUACAAUGGCCGGUACAGAGGGCUGCGAACUUGCAAAAGUAAGCCAAUCCCACAAAGCCGGUCCCAGUCCGGAUCGGAGUCUGCAACUCGACUCCGUGAAGUCGGAAUCGCUAGUAAUCGCGGAUCAGAAUGCCGCGGUGAAUACGUUCCCGGGCCUUGUACACACCGCCCGUCACACCAUGGGAGUGGGUUGCAAAAGAAGUGGGUAGUCUAACCUUCGGGGGGGCGCUCACCACUUUGUGAUUCAUGACUGGGGUGAAGUCGAACAAGGUA